AGAUUGAACGCUAGCGGGAUGCUUUACACAUGCAAGUCGAACGGCAGCGCGGACUUCGGUCUGGCGGCGAGUGGCGAACGGGUGAGUAAUAUAUCGGAACGUGCCCAGUAGCGGGGGAUAACUACGCGAAAGCGUGGCUAAUACCGCAUACGCCCUACGGGGGAAAGGGGGGNUU
rnacentral:rRNA from 1 species